rnacentral:rRNA from 1 species
AACGAACGCUGGCGGCGCGCCUAAUACAUGCAAGUCGAACGAGAAUGUGUAGCAAUACACAUGUACAGUGGCGAACGGGUGAGGAUUACAUGGGUAACCUACCCUCGAGUGGGGAAUAACUAGCCGAAAGGUUAGCUAAUACCGCGUACGCUUCCCGGACUGCGGUUCGGGAAGGAAAGCGAUACCGUGGGUAUCGCGCUCUUGGAUGGGCUCAUGCCCUAUCAGCUUGUUGGUGAGGUAACGGCUCACCAAGGCUUCGACGGGUAGCUGAUCUGAGAGGAUGAUCAGCCACACUGGCACUGCGACACGGGCCAGACUCCUACGGGAGGCAG